rnacentral:RNase_P_RNA from 1 species
GCGAUGAACCAGGCUGCCGCCGUUUGAAUGUACUUUGUAGUUCAGGCGGAGGAAAGUCCGGGCUCCGCAGGGCAUGAUGCCGGAUAAUACCCGGGCAGAGGCUGCGAAAGCAUCCUCCGACAGACAGUGCAACAGAAAAAACACAGCGAAGGCGCUGCCGCAAGGCCGGCGCCCGCAAUGGUGAAAAGGCGGGGCAAGAGCCCACCA